GACGAACGCUGGCGGCGUGCUUAACACAUGCAAGUCGAACGGAAAGGCCUGCUUUCCCUUGUGGAUUGCGGGUACUCGAGUGGCGAACGGGUGAGUAACACGUGAGUGAUCUGCCCCCAACUUGGGUAUAAGCCUGGGAAACUGGGUCUAAUUCCCGAUAGGACUGCAGGGUGGUGCCUGUGGUGGAAAACGAUUUUCUAGUGGUUGGGGAUGAGCUCGCGGCCUAUCAGCUUGUUGGUGGGGUAAUGGCCUACCAAGGCGGCGACGGGUAGCCGGCCUGGGAGGGUGGACGGCCACAUUGGGACUGAGAUACGGCCCAGACUCCUACGGGAGGCAGCAGUGGGGAAUAUUGCACAAUGGGCGGAAGCCUGAUGCAGCGACGCCGCGUGGGGGAUGACGGCCUUCGGGUUGUAAACUCCUUUCGACCGCGAGGAAGCCACCUGGUUGGAAGGGUGGUGACGGUAGUGGUAGAAGAAGGACCGGCUAACUACGUG
rnacentral:rRNA from 1 species